UACGAAGGGUGCAAGCGUUACUCGGAAUUACUGGGCGUAAAGCGUGCGUAGGUGGUGAGUUAAGUCUGAUGUGAAAUCCCCGGGCUCAACCUGGGAAUGGCAUUGGAUACUGGCUCGCUAGAGUGCGGUAGAGGGUGGUGGAAUUCCCGGUGUAGCAGUGAAAUGCGUAGAUAUCUGGAGGAACACCGGUGGCGAAGGCGGCAUCCUGGACCGGCAUUGACGCUGAGGAGCGAAAGCCAGGGGAGCAAACGGG
rnacentral:rRNA from 1 species